GGAUGUGAGGGUGAUCUGGCUGCGACAUCUGUCACCCCAUUGAUCGCCAGGGUUGAUUUGGCUGAUCUGGCUGGCUAGGCGGGUGUCCCCUUCCUCCCUCACCGCUCCACGUGCAUCCCUCCUGAAGCUGCGUGCUUGGUCGAAGAGGACAACCAUCCCCGAUAGAGGAGGAUUGUUCUUCGGUCAAGGGUAUACGAGUAGCUGUGCUUCCCUGCUAGAACCUCCAAACAAGCUCUCAAGAUCUCUUCACUAGUUAAUGCACCAGUAUUGUUACCUUUCAUUAUAAAAUGAUCAUUUAAAGUUUUAUGUCUGUAUUACGGUAUGCCUCCAUAAAUUUUU
rnacentral:snRNA from 1 species